rnacentral:lncRNA from 1 species
GUGGUCACACAGCAAGUGCCUCCUGAGCUAAAAUCUAAACUAAGGCACAGGGUCUCUAGGUCAGUUCUUAAUAAGUGGGUCUUAGUUCCUGUGCUGUCAUGGGUUGGAGUGGCCUUGGUGACUCCCUGUGACUUGAAGCCCGGUAGAAAGAAAGCAAGGAAUUUGGAAAAUACGUUUGGUCUUUAGCAGCAUAACCCUGUAGCAAGUCAUUUAAUCUUUAAGUUGGUAUCAUCAUCUGAUAAAGUAGACAUGAUAAUACCUCUCUUACACAUUUUGGGUGGUUAAAUGUAAUGGUUUGUUGAAAUACAAGAUUAACACAAAAGUGCUAUCCCACUGUCAAGCUUCAUGAUGAAAUUAUCUAUGUUAUAAUAAAGUGAGAACAUUAGACCUGGGCUCUCCAGUGGAUUUUUCUGCAAUAAUGGAAAUACUCUUUAUCUGUGCUGUUCAGUAUGGUACCACUGGCCCCAUGUGGCUAUGAAAGCCCUCAAAAUGUGACUAGUGAGAUCGAGGAACUGCAUUUUAAAUUUCAUGUAAUUAAUUUAAAUUUAAAUGGCCAGUGUGGCUGGUGGCUACUGUGGUGGCAGCACAGGAGAUGGUUUCACCUGUGAAGGACCCUGGAGACCAUGUAGUCCAACCCCUUUGUUUCAUAAAUGGCAAGACUGAGGUUCUUAGUGGAACAGGAACUUGCCCAAGGUCAUUCGCUAAGUUAGCAGAGAGCAGGUCCAGAACUGGUCUUUAAGCACCUUGAUACUAUCCACUUUAAAAAUUCUCAAUAUCCCUGAUUUAGACCAUGGGAUUAGAAAAGCGGAUUGAUCAUUAGCAACCUAAAACCUAUGUGAAAUACCAGGAAUACUCUGAUUUCGAAGAUGCCCUGUGGGUGGGGCAGGCGCUAAGGCAGGGGGGCCCACGCACGUUUGUGUGAGGCAGCGGUCGACUCUCUCCCCAGGAGCCUGAGUGAGUGUUGCCUUGACCAAGUUGGGAUCGUCUUCUUUACAGUCAAUAGAAGGAAACCCCUUCUCAUCAAAACCCAUCCUGACAGUGACGGAGACACUUCUGGCGAGGUCCUUCUCUCCAAGGAACGGUCUUGCCAGUGAUGGAGGGCUUGGGGCUCAGUGGACUGUAACGGUGUAUCUAUGGAAAGAAAGAAAAGGCCUGUGGUGAGGCUGCAACCGCGGUGCCAAAUCACAAUGUAUAAUUGGGCCUGAUUUUUUCCAUAUGUAUCAACAAAAACAGCCUUGCUUUCAUGGAGAUGAAAGCAACCCCUUUCUUUGGUCGUAUUCCUCCCCUGUGUAUAGUUCCCAGGUCUCCGCUGGGUUCAUCAUUCUCUGUUGAAAACAAACCUAAAGAGGAAAAGUCAGAAAUUAGGGAGAUGGAAGGACUUAGUGGAGAACAUGCUUUUCUUUAUAUUUUCCAUGGCAGAGAGAUAGGCAGUUUUUCUGUUUUCUUCCUUUUCUUAACUAAAAUAAAAUGAAAUUACUUUGUCAGAGUUUUGGUGAAAUCAGAUUCUUGGGGGUAGUGAAAGCCAAUAAGGGCUCAAGAGCGGUAGAUUCCUGGGUAGGUGUGAACUGUGUUUCUUAAAUGACACUCAUACAUUCAGUCAACACUCCAUUUAUGUUAGUUCGCCCAGCCUGCUGUUGCAGAAAACCACAGACUGGAAGGCGUCAGCAACAAAAAUGUGUUUUCUUACAAAUCUGGAAGCUGGAAGUCCAAGAUCAAGGAGCCAGUAACUUUGGUUUCUCCCGAAGUCUCUCCCCUUGGCUGCAGACUUGGCCACCUUCCCACUGUUUCCUCAGGGGGCUUUUUCUCUGUAUUCCUGGCCUCUCUUCCUCUUCUUAUAAGGACACCAAUCCUAUUGGAUCAGGGCCCCAGCCUGUGACCUCCUUUAACCUUAGUUACCUCUUCAAAGGACUCCUCUCCAAAUACAGUCACCUGGGAAGCUAGGGCUGCAACAUAUGAACUUUGAGGGGACAUGAUUCAGAGUGAACAAUUUUAUUGAGCACUCUCUAUGUGCUGGGCACUGGAAAUGCAGGAAAAAACCAGUCUAGAAACCUGGCCUCUGGGAAGCUGGAAGUCUAACAGACAUGUAAAAAAUAUACAAAAUGAUAUGCAAUUUUUCUGCGCCAAGGGCAUUGAGGGAGAGAAUUCGUUUUGUUUUGGGGAAUGGAAGAGGAAGGAUUCGGAGAAAUCUUUAAAGACAAGGAGUCGAGUGAAUUUAAUUUUGAAGGAAAGUCUGGCAUAGGCAGAAUGGCAGGAAAUAGAGUAAAUAAUACAAAUGAAAUAAUCCAGGUCUCUCUCCCGACUUCUGAAACGUUCUAAAAUAUACUCCCCGACUUUGAAGGUCUAACUUCUAUGAUCAAGAUGAUUUCAUUCAUUAAGCCAUUGUUUUCUUACAAAUAAAACAAAAGACAAUAUUGGCUGGGAAUGCUCUUGGCUACAAACAUCAUAAAAUUAUGAUGUGAGCUGGCUUGAACAGUAGGUGCAUGAAUAUUUUCCACGAGCAACUCAGUGGUGGGGUGGGUUCCGGGCACAGCUUAAUCACUAACUAAUGGCAUUGAGGACUUGGGCUUUUUCUGUCUCUCCAUUUUUCCUUUCUUCUUGCUGGCCUCAGCCAAAGGCAGGAUAUUCUUCUCCUGGUUAUGAUGACCACUAGUCAAUUUGACAGACAUGCGUGCUUACACCUGGCAGGAGAGAAAAUGAAAACCUCUCCUCCAAUCCUUGGCAUGCUGGAGUUAGCUAGCCCUGACUCCCAAGAUCUGAUUGUCAGAUUUUCAGGAAUUUUUGCAACCUGGUUGUUAAACAUAGCUGUUAUUAAAAAAAAUAAAUUAUAUAAACUUGAAAUAAACUACAUUAAAAGCAAAGAUAACAAAUAUUCAAAAUUCAUCUCGCCUAUUAUUUUACUAGCUUUGCUAUCAUCCAUGCCCCUGCAAAGAUUGACAUCUACCAGAUCUGUUUGUUGGUGGCAUGAUGUAGUGGGGGCUGUUGUAGUUCCCUGUCCAGCUCCACAUUGGUGGCUUAAAAUCAGCUGUGAUAGGUGUGUUUGCAACACAGAAAUGGGCAAAUGCUAUAAAUCAGGUUGUGAUCUAAUGUUUUUGGAUUGUCUGGACUUAGGGACAUGAUGGAGAAAUGUAAAUAAUGCAUACUGAACUUUAAAAAGUGUGAUUCUAAAACUGUCACAUUGUGAAUAGUACAAAAACUUAAUGUAUUUUGCCAGUUUUAUCUGGUUCAUCAGUCACUCACAUCAUCGACAAAUGAGUGAAGUUCUGACCAUAUUUCUCCAUAGUUUUACAUGUUAACAUGAGCAAAAGCAGCCAACAUUCAUGUCGGUAUCACACUCAUCUGUUAAUUGCAACCAAAGGUUGGUUAUAGAUGCAAGACUGGCAAAAGCCAGUAAGAGUAUUCUGUGAAAAUUAAUUUGUAGCGUGGAGUUUACAAUAAAGAACAUUUCACGUUUUGCUGUAUUUGGAUAUUGGGUUCUAAACAUCCAUUAGGUCAGUAAAAAUUUAUAUAAGUGUAUGUCUGUCUAUACAGACAGAUAUAUAUAGAUCUGUAUCUAUAUGUAUAUAGGGCUGUAUUCCCCCCCGCCCCGACAGCCCAUUGUUGAGCAUUUAUUAGCAUCACUCCCCCAUUCCUUUAGUUUGACUUGGUCAAUCUAGUUUACCUGCCCACCCUCAAGCCUGGAAUGCCACACACUUAAUUACCCCUUGUGGCUGGGAAUGGGUAGUUUGAACUGAACAGAAGGUUUGUUAGGAACAAGGAAUCAGGGGAUGAAUUUUGGCUAGGCAUACAAAGCUAUCUCAACUAUAAGGGUCACCUAUCCCCACCAGGAAAAAAAUUAGUGUAAUAUCAGUCUUUUUUACUUUAGUGUGAUUUUUUUUAUUACUCAAUGAAUUUAUUACAUUUAUAGUUGUACAAUGAUCAUCACAAUCCAAUUUUAUAUGAUUUCCAUCCCAUACCCCCAGUGUAUCCCCUCACCCCCCCAAACUGUCUCCUUUGGAAACUGUAAGUUUUUCAAAGUCUGUGAGUCUGUAUCUGUUCUGCAAAGAAGUUUGUUGUGUCCCUUUUUUAGAUUCCACAUGUAUAGCAUUUGAUGUUGGUGUCUCAUUGUCUGACUGACUUCACUUAGCAUGAUAAUUUCUAGGUCCAUCCAUGUUGCUAAAAAUGCCAUAAUUUCUUUCCUUUUAAUGGCUGAGUAAUAUUCCAUUGUGUAUAUGUACCACAUCUUCUUUAUCCAUGCCUCUGUCGACAGACAUUUAGGUUGUUUCUAUGUCUUGGCUAUUGCAAAUAGUGCUGCAAUGAACAUUAGAGUACUUGUGUCUUUUCGAGUCAUGAUUUUCUCUGGAUAGAUGCCCAGGAGUGAGAUUUCUGGAUAUUUUAGUGUGAAUUAAUGUGUGGCACCUUUUCCAAUAGAUCAGCUGGCUCAGAACACACCACAUAGAACUAUUGACAAUUUGGGCUGGAGAAUUCUUGCUGUGGGUGCCGUCCUGUACCUAAUAAAAUAUUUAGCAGCACCCCUGACCUCUACCCAUUACAUGCCAGUAACACCCCACCUCCAAUUGUGGCAACUCCAAACUUCUCCAAAUAUUGCCAGAUCUCUUCUGGGGUCUAUUUCGCUCACCAACUACUGGUUUCAACCCAGGACAGAGUUCUAAAUGGAAGGUUUUCAUUUCUGUUCUCUUCCCUCUAAGGUCCUGCUAUCUACAAGCAAAUGUUAAAUUGAUGGGUUAAAGCGAUGCCAGAGUCAGAGGCACAUUCCUGAGAGCUGGAACCCCGGCCUCCCCUAAAGUGAAUCUAGGGGCAAAUCUUCUGGGCUCAGGAGUGAGGAAUGUUCCAAUGGGGGAGGCCGAAGCCUCUAGAUACUAACCUCUCCUCAACUUGGCAAAUUACAACAUGGCUUUUUCGCCUCUGGACUCAAAGAAUAUGAAACUCUGUCCUGAAAAUCUAUACAUGAAGAUCUUAAAAAGGUCUUGGUUUCUUUUAGGAAACGUAGGAAGACUGUAGACUGAGUUAGAAGGAGGAUUUCCUUCAGCUUGUGCUUGGGUUCCAGAAGCAUCAACUUUUCAGACUAUAGCAAUGAUGUAAGUUCCAAAGGAAGCAAACAAAGGCAUCAGAGCAAUAUGUAAACUGUCCAAAGCCUGGGAAAUGUUCUCAUGCCAGAAUCUAUUGACGUUUGUGUAAAAAAAGCUUACCCCAAACUCUCCUCUCCUCAAGAAAGUCCUCCUUAGACCUGUUUCCCUUCCAGCUUCCAGCUGGUCUUCAUCUUUCCUCAAUAGCUAAGGAUCUCAAAGGAUUAGUCUUCAUUUGCUGUCACAAUUUGUUCUCCUUCCAUUCAUUCCUUGGAUUCUGUCCCCAAAUACCAGCAAUACUGUUCUAUUGUGUUCAGUCACCUCCUCCAAAGCAUCCUCAUUCUGUCUAAGCCUUAGGACGGCUCUGUCUCUGCUGGCCAUCCU